rnacentral:rRNA from 1 species
UACGAAGGGGGCUAGCGUUGUUCGGAAUUACUGGGCGUAAAGCGCGCGUAGGCGGCUUUGUAAGUUAGAGGUGAAAGCCCGGAGCUCAACUCCGGAACUGCCUUUAAGACUGCAUCGCUAGAAUUGUGGAGAGGUGAGUGGAAUUCCGAGUGUAGAGGUGAAAUUCGUAGAUAUUCGGAAGAACACCAGUGGCGAAGGCGACUCACUGGACACAUAUUGACGCUGAGGUGCGAAAGCGUGGGGAGCAAACAGG